GGCUUUCCUGAUGGCUUCUGGGGGUUCUUGUCGGUUUGUUUCCUUCUGGCUCACGCUGUGUCUUGCCCCCUGGACGCUGAGCACCAGUUCCGACUGCUGGGUCCACCCUGGAACGUGCUGGAGAGGGCGCCACGCUCAGGGUGGAGGCUGUUCCUGAGUGCUGCAAGUCAGAAGCGCCCUUGGCGCCUGUAGAGCUGUGUGGGCUGCUGGAGACCCCAAGCGGGCCGCCUCAGGAACGUGUCCUUGGUGUCAGCGGGAGCAGCAGGCCACCUCCUGGGGCUGACACUGGCCGAGGUCUGCAUUUCUGAGGGCGGGGCGUGCUUUGACAUCCUGAAAGGGUUGCAAAACCCAUCACAGAGAACCCCAAGAAGGGAGACUCUGCCCCCAAGACCCAGUGUGCCCCGCAGGGUCUGUGCUGUGUGCUCGCUGGCUCUUCAUGGAAGCCUUUCCCAGCCCGGGUCGGGGACCCCUGGUCCAACAUCCCCAGGAGCCGGCGGGAAGCCCGUUCUGGUCACCACAGCCCCUUUUGCAUGGCAUGAGUGCCCCAUGCCAGCCUGCAUGGCAUGUGCCUCCCACUUCCAAUGCCCUCCUCCCAGGGGCUCAUUCCUGCCCCAAGUGGGGUGACCUCUCUCUGCAGACAGGGGAGGCCUGUCCUCCCGGCAUGCAGCCCUGAAAGGAGAGGGGCCGGGGCAGGGAGGGGGUGUGCCGCGCCAUCGUGGUGAAGGCAGAGCAGCUCCUUUGUUCCGUGAUGUGUCAGGUUGCCGGAUACUGGGCUCCAGGCUCCAGGGGCAGUCCCUGGCCUGGGGGGUGGGAUGUGGAGUGCCAGGUGGGUCCCGGAAGGAGCUUUCCACUGGGGCCCCAGGAGGUUGCCCCAUCCUUCCCACUGGGACUGGCAGGUGACUUCCUGAUGACGCUCUCCGUGGCUCUGAAUUUGUCACAGAGGUUCCGUGGGCGAUGAGUGCUUUUCCUGUUGGCCGGUGCCGCCUCUGGGCAAUGCAGGGACCCUUGAUGACAGCUCCUGACCCCUUCCAAAGCCGCCUGGCCCUCCUUGAACCCGACGAGAGCAGGUUGCCGGGCCUUCCCUGAGGAAUGUGUUCCUGGCAGGUGGGGACAGCCCCUCCCCCAGGGUGUUGGGUACAGGAUCCUGGGGUGCCUCAGGACACGGUCAGGCCCACUGAACCCCCACACUCCUGGGCCACCUGCCCGCUGGCUGUCCUCUGUGACCCUGUCUCCCCUGAGCCAAGGUGCCCGGCCUGGUCCCCCGGGAAGAACAGUGAGGAGGUCUGGCUCUCCCUGCCAUGGGGGCCUCGGGGGCCUGGACGGGGACGGUGUCCUCCCUCCCCAGGCUGCCCAGCGCCCUCGCUCAGGGAGUGCUCUCCUAGCGGCCUGUUCGGCAGACGGGCACAGUCACGACAGCAGCCAGACCCUGUCCCGGCCCAUGCACCCACCUGGACAGAUCGGCGCCCUCCUAGACUUACUGGCUCCAUUGAGGGUCCCAAAGGGGCUGCCCCAGAGCACCCUGGGGUCUCCAGACCCCUCGGCCCACAGCAGCUACCAGCAGCCCAGGCAGGACCCAGGGGCUUCCGGGCACAGAGGCGCCGCUCCCUGGCUUGUGAGCCUGGGGCCUCUCCAGCCGUCCCCUGUCGGGGGGGCCUCCACUCCUGCUCUGGAUCAAGGUCCUGCCCUCAGGGAGAGCUGGUGCCUUCGGGGGACCGGGCCCUGGUUGCAGUUGGAGAGUGCAUCCAGGGAUGGUGCUCUUCUUGGCUGCCGCCCUGCCUCCCAGGGGCCUCCCCAGACACCCGGCUGCUGUCAGCUGGGGCUGGGGGGUCCUCUGGCCUAGGGGUCAUCCCAGUUUGGGAGUGCCCUUCCCUGGACACUGUGUCCAAGAAGGAUACAUGCUCGCCCUUUGUUGGGGGCCAGGCACAGGGUGAGGGGACACUCGGCCCCACCACCCCUGUCUCCGGGAGCCCUGGCUGGGUACGGUGCCUCUUCUGAGAGAUCCUGCCCGGGACUGGUGCCGCCUGCCUCCCGCACAGUUGGGGACCCUGGCCGGGCACCUCCUGCCAGCCCCCUGCUUCUGUCCUAGCCUCAGCCGGGCCCUGCAAGCUGUCCAUGUGCCUGUGACACCCGGUCCCUCUGCGGAUGUUUGCAAACACCCCUGCCCCCACAGUGAUGUCUGGGGGCCUCUCUGGGCCUUUGUGUGCCGAGUUGAGGGUGGGUGGUGGUGGGGGGGUCUUUCCAUAGUUGCCUACUUCCUGUCCUCCUCGGCCCCAGGUCCAGGGGUGCCCUGCCUGCUCAGUUUCCAGCCUGAGCCCUUCCUUGAGCUGGCCCAGUCCCCUAAGCUUCUGCAGCAGGUUCCCAGAUCCACCCGAGGGACUCCUGGCCAGUGUUCCCAGUGGUGUCUGAGUGCUAGACUCAGUCCCUGGCCAUAGAUUUCGGGGAACCCCGCUCUGAGGGGCCAUUGCUUCUGUUUCCUCUCCAGGUCCCCUCCCAGUUGCCUCGGAGAGCGAGGAUGGGGCUGUCGGGAGGCAGAAGGGAGGGUUGGGGUGCAGAGGUGUGGCUUAGGGGAGGGAAAGUCAACUGGGCUACCGCCCCUCCCUGCCCUCCCUGGACUCAGUCCAGACAUAACCUGCGGGUUGGAGGCCUGUGCACCCUUUAUCUCCUAGUAGCCUGGCAGGUCCUCCUGGGUCUUCCUCAGUGUGGCUGGGUCCCCAGACCAUAGGCCCCAGCAGGGUAGGGGCCCGUGCUCUGCUCUUGUUUUUGCUCCUACUUGCCCGCCCUUCCCGGGGAGGCCGCUGGCCACGACCAUGCCAAUCUCUUUCCCUGCUGCCUGCCUGCCUGGGUGGCCUCCAGCUCACCGCCCUGUGAGGCCUGUGGCCUCCCGCCAGGGCUGUCCUCAGGGGCCUGGAUCCCCCUAGUUUAUCUACCGCCCUUGCUGCCCCACAUGUGUCCCUGCAGCCUGGGGAUGAUCCGGAGGGUUGGGGGAUCGGUGCCCUUGGUUCACCCAGCCCAGCCCUAGGGCGGUUACCCCGGUGGCCCUGCCAGGCAUGGGGCUUGGGAGAGGAUACGAUGGAGCCGGCACAGGGAGGGGGCAGGAGACUCUGGGUGACUCGGGGCAGGAGGGGGUGCCCCAGAGGUUCAGAAUCCUGGGCACACAGUGGGCUGAGCGGACAAGUCGCAGCCUCAGGGGGACCUCCCGUCCUCCCCACUGGCACUGGAUCUUUCUGGGCCUGGCUCUGCUGCCUCCCACCCCCAUUCAGCUGGUGGCUUCUAGAUGCUUCCAGAGUGUGCUUGGCCCCUUUGCCUCUAUGCCAUUGGGCC
rnacentral:lncRNA from 1 species